rnacentral:tRNA from 1 species
UUGGGGAUUGCAGGAGAGAUAUGGGGGCUUCUAACCUUUGUAUGAGCAGUUCGAGUCUGUUCGUUCCUU